UCCCUUCAGCCUUCCUAAAGAAGUAAAAGAGAGAGAGCUCUCCCAAACUUUCCUCAUCUGCUGCCGCGGCAACCCACUCGGGCCACUGUGGGUGGGCAUCGAUCGAGGAAAAAAUCGAUCCCAAAUGAACCCUCUCUAAACCAUUACUUGAAAACCAAGCCUAAAAUCCCCUAAAAUGUAACCCUCUAUCCUAAAUCUAAAAAUAAAUCUAGUGGUUACCUUCGAAAGUCGAGGGCUUUGGCUCGGUGAAGAUCCGGUUCCGGCCAAGAACAAAGGAGAAGAUAGUGGCGGCUCGCGUGGCUGAGGGAAACCAAGGGGUUGAGCGUGUGUUUCUCGCGUGCUGGGCGGUGGCCGAUUCUUUGCUGGUAGCGACGACGGCUGGUGAGAUGUUUUUAAGGCAAACCCUAAAUUUGAACAAUCUAAACCAUUGGAUGUGUCCAGAUCUAACAGUUGGGAUUAGAGUUGGUUGGAGUUAAUGGUGAAAAAGCCCUAGUUGAGUUGGGCCUGUUGGUUUUGGGCCAGGUCCAGGCUGUUGUAAUCCGGAUCCGGGUUUGGGCCUCCUGCUUGGGUCUUGAUCCAAUUGUAAUUUGUAUCUAUUUUAUUUGGGUCCAUCUUUGAUUUGUAA